AUGCUGUUUGUGGCACGCAGCCUUUUUCCAGGCGCCGCCCCUGCCACCGUCUCCACCUUGUACCUGUGCGGCAGCAGCUGGACAGCGCCAGCAUCGCGGCUCCCCAGCUGGGCAGACGAAAGCGCAUGCGCAGGCGGCCUGUCACAAGCGCCAGCGCUGAGCCUGGACUCGCGUCACAGUAACAGCCACCAGUUGCCUGGGGAACGAUCACAGUGGCUUCCCAAAGCAGCGGUCCUCUGUGGCAGUGCCUCAGCAUCGGGCAACGGACUCUUUCUCCGCGCGAUCAUCGCUGAGUCCUGCGAUUUUAGGAAUCCGGCAGGCCGAGCCAGGCAGAAGAAAGAUCUGUCGGGGCUUCAGGGAUGUCCACGGCGCUCCCCAGGAAUCACCAAGUUGCUGCAGACCUGCCCAAACAGUGUGAGGGUGCCUCUCGUUGAAAGCCCUCGUGGCUGGGAUUUCCAGGUGGCAGCCAGACCCCACUACACUGAGGCUUUGAACACCACCAGGAAAAAGAAGAAUGCAGGGCGCCGCAGCCCCAAACUGAGCCAAACGUUGAUCAGCAGCAGAAAGCUGUUUGCGCAGGUGCUUUUGCGUGCCCAGCUGUGGAGCCACAAUGUUGGCACUGUCCAGCGGAUGCUGCCCAUAUGCACAAAGGAGUCGGUUCCAAGGGCAGCCCCCGAAAAGUCUGCAUGCCAUCACACCAGAGACACAGAACUUGGAAUUGAGAUUUUCUCCUGUGCUCCUUGCAUCUCCUGAAAAAACCAAUAAUGAUCCUUCCUGCGGCUUCAACAUCCACAUCUGUGAGAAAGCCGCUGGCGAGUGUGAUAUUUUCAAGAAGCCACAGUCCAUGUUACCCCCUACAGAGCUCUGAACUUGCGCACUGGUGGGCCUGGCAGCGGUUUUCUCCCCAAAGUGUCUGAACUGCUCUCAUGCUGGAGGGAAAAGAGGGGAGCAGCACAAUGGACAGCGUCUGGAUCUCAGGCCACUUUUCACAGCAACUUAGGAAAUCAGGCUGCUGCCUGGGCUGGAGAAGCCACGAUGCCCAGUAAAGA
rnacentral:lncRNA from 1 species